GGGCCCGCACAAGCGGUGGAGCAUGUGGUUUAAUUCGAUGCAACGCGAAGAACCUUACCUACACUUGACAUGCUGAGAAGUUACUAGAGAUAGUUUCGUGCCUUCGGGAACUCAGACACAGGUGCUGCAUGGCUGUCGUCAGCUCGUGUCGUGAGAUGUUGGGUUAAGUCCCGCAACGAGCGCAACCCUUGUCCUUAGUUGCCAGCCUUAAGUUGGGCACUCUAAGGAGACUGCCGGUGACAAACCGGAGGAAGUGGGGACGACGUCAAGUCAUCAUGGCCCUUACGUGUAGGGCUACACACGUGCUACAAUGGCUGGUACAGAGGGCUGCGAACCCGCGAGGGCAAG
rnacentral:rRNA from 1 species